CUAGGUUAGCCUGUUAUACACGGCAAACUUACCAAAAGUUACCAAAAUAAAAAAAAAAAGUUGCCAAGUUACCAAACACUCGAAAAGUUACCUAUUUUGUGGCAACCGUGGCCAGGAUCACUUUGUGUGUCCGUUAACGUUCGCUGGUGCAGGUAUUUUCACCACUGCAACCUUUAGUUUGGUCGAGUGCAGCCUUUGCAUACUUACAACUGGUCAGGAUCAUUUGUGUGUCCGUCCACGUUCGCUCGUGAGGGUAUUUUCACCACUGCAACCUUUUGGUUUGGCCAAGUGGAGAAUUUGCAUACUUACAAGUCAGGAUUAUUUGUGUGUCCCUCCACCGAAUAUAAUUCGAUUUUAGAUAUUAAACAUGUAAUUUUUAAAUGCAACAAACAUAAUAAUUUUUAAAAGAUUAAUUUAUAUACAUUAUAUCAAUUGCAUCUUUACUAUUUGUACAUUUCUUCAUAUCGCACACCGUCUUCAAAAGGGUCACAACUCAAAAUAAUACGUUUGUCAGAAAAUGCGAAAAACUAUU